AUUGAACGCUGGCGGCAUGCCUAACACAUGCAAGUCGAGCGAGCUGCGGACGGGUGAGUAAUGUAUGGGGACUUCCCGUUACAGGGGGAUAGCUACUGGCAACGGUGGCUGAUACUACAUCCUGUCGGAUAACCCAUAUGGGAUUGGCUAGUAGGUUAGGUAAUGGCUUACCUAGGCGACGAGCCGUCGCUGGUCUGAGAGGAUGAUAGGGUGAACGGGGACAGAGACACGGCCCAGACUCCUACGGAUGAAGCAGUGGGGAAUAUUGCAAAAGGGGCGAAAGCCUGAUGCAGCCAUGUCGCGUGGAUGAAGAAGGCACUAGGGUUGUAAAGUACUUUAAGUCGGGAGGCGUUACCGACAGAAGAAGCACCGGCUAACUCCGUGCCAGCAGCCGCGGUAAUUC
rnacentral:rRNA from 1 species